UCAAGCUACAAAGGGCGCAAGGAGAAUGCCUUGGCACUGGGAGCCGAUGAAAGACGUGGUAAGCUGCGAUAAGCUUCGGGGAGGAGCAAACAUCCUUUGAUCCGGAGAUUUCUGAAUGAGGAAACUCACCAGAGUUCAUACUCUGGUAUCCUGUACUGAAUCCAUAGGUACAGGAGGGGAACCGCCUGAACUGAAACAUCUAAGUAGGGCGAGGAAGAGACAUCAAACGAGAUUCCGUAAGUAGUGGCGAGCGAACGCGGAAGAGGGCAAACCGAGAGUAGAAAUACUUUCGGGGUACGGAGCGCAUUUAGGACUUAAGUUGUUAACCGAACGGCAUGGGAAGGCCGGUCAGAGAGUGUGAGAACCACGUAGGUGAAAACGACAAGAGCUGAGCGAGUUCCAGAGUACGGCCAGACACGUGAAACCUGGUCGGAAUACGGGGGGACCACCCUCCAACCCUAAAUACUACCCAGUGACCGAUAGCGUAUAGUACUGUGAAGGAAAGGUGAAAAGCACCCCGGGAGGGGAGUGAAAAAGAACCUGAAACCCUGUGCCUACAAGCACCUAGAGCACGUCAAUGUGUGAUAGGGUACUUUUUGUAGAACGGUCCGGCGAGCGAUUGUAUGCAGCAAGGUUAAGGACUUAAGGUCUGGAGCCGAAGCGAAAGCGAGUUUGAAAAGGGCGUUAAGUUGCAUAUAAUGGGCCCGAAACCGGGUGACCUACCCAUGGUCAGGUUGAAGUGGAAGUAAAAUUCCAUGGAGGACCGAACCGACCUCCGUUGAAAAGGCGGCGGAUGAACUGUGGGUAGCGGAGAAAUUCCAAUCGAACCCGGAGAUAGCUGGUUCUCCCCGAAAUAGUUUUAGGACUAGCCUCAAGUUAGAUACCUGGAGGUAAAGCACUGAAUAGCCUAGCGGCCGAGAGGUUAGCGAAGCUUAUCAAACUCAGAAUGCCAGAGUAUUGAUGCUUGGGAGUCAGACAGUGUCAGAUAAAUGUCAUUGUCAAAAGGGAAACAGCCCAGAUCUACAGCUAAGGUCCCAAAGUCAGGUUAAGUGGAAAACGAUGUGAAGAUACGUAGACAACCAGGAUGUUGGCUCAGAAGCAGCCACACAUUCAAAGAGUGCGUAAUAGCUCACUGGUCGAGCGUCUUUGCGCGGAGAAUUUAACGGGGCUAAACCUGACACCGAAGCUUAGGCAGCAUGUUUACAUGCUGGGUAGGGGAGCGUUGUAUACGCGGUGAAACAGUAGCGCAAGCGGCUGUGGAGUGUAUAGAAGUGAGAAUGCCGGAAUGAGUAGCGCGAAUGCAGUGAGAAUCUGCAUGGCCGAAAGCCUCAGGUUUCUGGAGGAAGGUUCGUCCGCUCCAGGUUAGUCGGGAGCUAAGGUGAGGCCUAACGGCGUAGCCGAUGCACAGACGGUAGAGAUUCCGUCACCACCAAAAGAGUUAAACACAGGGACACAUUUGAAGUCUCGGAGCCGGGUGUUGGUUCCGGUAGCGAUCGAGGGAAGUUAGUACCGAAGUCCGGGAUGGAAGAUGGCGAGAAAAGCUGUGUGUAUUUCUGCGGUGCCCGUACCGCAAACCGACACAGGUAGGUAGGAAGAAGAUUCUAAGGCCAACGGGAGAAGGGUUGUUAAGGAACUCGGCAAAUUGACCCCGUAACUUCGGGAGAAGGGGUGCUCCAGAGAUGGAGCCGCAGAGAAUCGGCCCAAGCAACUGUUUACCAAAAACACAGGUUUGUGCUAAAUCGAAAGAUGACGUAUACGAGCUGACGCCUGCCCGGUGCUGGAAGGUUAAGAGGAGAUGUGCAAGCAUUGAAUCGAAGCCCCAGUGAACGGCGGCCGUAACUAUAACGGUCCUAAGGUAGCGAAAUUCCUUGUCAGGUAAG
rnacentral:rRNA from 1 species